CCCGCCUGCCCUGUGACUAUAAGUUUAACGGCCGCGGUAUUUUGACCGUGCAAAGGUAGCGCAAUCACUUGUCUUUUAAAUGAAGACCUGUAUGAAUGGCAAGACGAGGGCUAAGCUGUCUCCUUUUCCAAGUCAGUGAAAUUGAUCUCCCCGUGCAGAAGCGGGGAUAUUGCCAUAAGACGAGAAGACCCUAUGGAGCUUUAGACACUAGAAAGCCCAUGUAAAACAACCUCUUUGAAGGGUAAAAACUUAAUGGCAACUCAUCUAAUUGUCUUCGGUUGGGGCGACCGCGGGGGAAAAAGUAGCCCCCAUGUGGAGUGGGAAUAUAUUUUCCCAGAGCCAAGAAAGACUUUUCUAAGCAACAGAAAUUCUGACCAAACUGAUCCGGCAAAGCCGAUCAACGGACCCAGUUACCCUAGGGAUAACAGCGCAAUCCUCUCCCAGAGUCCCUAUCGACGAGGGGGUUUACGACCUCGAUGUUGGAUCAGGACAUCCUAAUGGUGCAGCCGCUAUUAAGGG
rnacentral:rRNA from 1 species